rnacentral:rRNA from 1 species
UUCUUUUAGACUUAAAUUGAAGGUAAUUUCUGCCCUAUGAUUAAUUUUAAAUGGCUGCAGUAUUUUGACUGUACAAAGGUAGCAUAAUAAUUAGUUUCUUAAUUAGGAACUUGCAUGAAUGAAAACAUGAAAGGAUUUUUUUAUUUAAUUUAAUUUUAUAAUUUCACUUUUUAGUUAAAAGGCUAAGGUUUAUUUUUGGGACGAGAAGACCCUAUAGAAUUUAAAAUGUUUCUGUGAAUAAAAUUUAUUAUUUAAAAUUUUUAUGUUUAAGACAUUUUUAAUUGGGGUGAUUAUAAAAUUUUAUUAAUCUUUUUUUUUAAAAAUCAUUUAUUCAUGGUUUUUUUGAUCCAUUCAAUGAUUAUAAGAUAAAUUACCUUAGGGAUAACAGCGUAAUUUUAAUGGGGAGUUCUAAUUUAUAUUAAAGUUUGCGACCUCGAUGUUGAAUUAAAGUUAAAUUUAGGUGAAGAUGCUUAAUAAUUUAAGUCUGUUCGACUUUUAAAACUUUACA